rnacentral:rRNA from 1 species
AGCUGUCAGGGUUCACAGAACUUUGGUGACGCAGCUAACGCAUUAAGUANUCCGCCUGGGGAGUACGGUCGCAAGGUUAANACUCAAAGGAAUUGACGGGGGCCUGCACAAGCGGUGGAGCAUGUGGUUUAAUCCGAAGCAACGCGCAGAACCUUACCAGCGUUUGACAUGCCUAGUAUGGUUUCCAGAGAUGGAUUCCUUCAGUUCGGCUGGCUAGUGCACAGGUGCUGCAUGGCUGUCGUCAGCUCGUGUCGUGAGAUGUUGGGUUAAGUCCCGCAACGAGCGCAACCCUCGUCUUUAGUUACCAUCAUUUAGUUGGGUACUCUAAAGAAACCGCCGGUGAUAAGCCGGAGGAAGGUGGGGAUGACGUCAAGUCCUCAUGGCCCUUACGCGCUGGGCUACACACGUGCUACGAUGGCGACUACAGUGGGCUGCAAUCCCGCGAGGGUGAGCUAAUCUCCAAAAGUCGUCUCAGUUCGGAUUGUUCUCUGCAACUCGAGAGCAUGAAGGCGGAAUCGCUAGUAAUCGCGGAUCAGCAUGCCGCGGUGAUACGUUCCCAGGCCUUGUACACACCGC